GCAGCUAACGCAUUAAGCGCCCCGCCUGGGGAGUACGAUCGCAAGAUUAAAACUCAAAGGAAUUGACGGGGCCCCGCACAAGCAGCGGAGCAUGCGGCUUAAUUCGACGCAACGCGAAGAACCUUACCAAGGCUUGAAAUAUACAGGAAUACGGCAGAGAUGUCGUAGCCGCAAGGUCUGUAUACAGGUGGUGCAUGGUUGUCGUCAGCUCGUGUCGUGAGAUGUUGGGUUAAGUCCCGCAACGAGCGCAACCCUCGUUCUGUGUUGCCAGCAUUUAGUUGGGGACUCACAGGAGACUGCCGGGGUUAACUCGGAGGAAGGUGGGGAUGACGUCAAAUCAUCAUGCCCCUUAUGUCUUGGGCUGCACGCAUGCUACAAUGGCUGGUACAAACGGCUGCAAUACCGCAAGGUGGAGCGAAUCCGAGAAAGCCAGUCUCAGUUCGGAUUGGGGUCUGCAACUCGACCCCAUGAAGUCGGAGUUGCUAGUAAUCGUAGAUCAGCAACGCUACGGUGAAUACGUUCCCGGGGCUUGUACACACCGCCCGUCACAUCACGAAAGUCGGUAACACCCAAAGUCAGUGGC
rnacentral:rRNA from 1 species